UUUCGGUUCUUCUUUCCCUUUUCCUUUGGCCGAUUGCUUCUUCCCUCGAGAGGAGUUCAUUGCUACAGACUUCAAUAAAGUGGAAAGGCUGUCCAGGGAACAUUUGGCCAAUUCCUCUGCCUCUCUGCAGGAUUGAUUGGACCAGGCGAUUUGUGACUCCUGCCUUUCCUUCCAUCACUCAGAGGCUUAGUUUUCCUUCUGGUUGCUUUGUCUCCAGUGUCUCAUAUGCCAGCAUGAUGAUUGGCACAACUGUCUUGAACACUUCAAGUGCAAUUAGUCCUUCCGUGAGGAGGAGGAGGAGGGAGGCAAGCGUUCCUCCUGACACAAAACAGUCUUCUUUUUUAGGACUGUCUACCACUUCGAGCCAUUCCUAAGCAGAAGACACCCAUCUUCCAGUAGCAGAUACCCCCGCGCCUUCCUCGUUAUGCCAACCCUCACGUUGGUCAGUAAGGCAUUAGAGAGUCUGUUGUGGGUCCUGCAGAAAGUCAGAUGCUCCGGGUGUCACGCUACAACUUUAAGACAUGGCUUCUGCCCCUUUGAAGCUUACGUCUGAAUUAGAGAAACAUCCAAACAUAUGAAGGUCCUGAUCAAACGCCUGAAGUGUGUCUACUGAUGCACCCACCUCCAGUGUCUAGAUUGUUAGGUCUUUUCUGUUUCUCUUAUUUUAUCCUACACGUUAAAAAACGUAUGUGGCUUCUCCAUUCCAAGGCUAUCCUUAGCACAUGUCCUUUAUACCUCUUGGGGUGGACAGAUGAUGGCCCCAGACGUGUUCACAUCCUAAUCCCCCGUGCCUGUAAAUUUACCUUACAUGUCAAAAGUGACUUUGCAGAUGAGAUUUGGUGGAGAUGCGAUUUAAAAUGGGGAGAUUUUCCUAGAUUGUGUCGGUGGACUCCACGUAAUCACAAGACAGGGGCAGAGUCUGAGAGGGGGAGGUGGCAACAGAAGCGGAGCUUGGAUGAUGUGGGGCCGUGAGCCAAGGAAUGCAGGCAGCCUGUACAGCUUGGAAAAAACAAGGAAAUAGACUUUCCCUUGAGCUUCCAGAAGGAACCCAGCCCUGCUGAUAAUGUUUUGAGUUCCAACUUCCAGAACUGUAACGUAAUAGAUUGGUGCUGUUCUCACCUACUGAAUUUGUGAUCAUUUUAAUACAGCAGCAGUAGGAAACAUACAUUGAUUGAGCCAUCCCUGGUCACCUGACCCACAUUUGCGUCUUUGGUCUUUAUCUUCUUUUCCGCAGGCUAUGAGCGGCCAACAAAUGUAGGUUAUAAGUGAACAAAACUGUUUGUUUUUAAACUUUCAUUGUUCCUCUACCUUCUGUCCUUUUCAACCUUUUGUAGCCAAGUUAUUUUACAAACAGUCUAAGGCAUUGAUUCUCAGAUCUGUCUAUGCCCAGCAUCACCUGAAAAGUUUUUCAAAUAAUGCAUCUGCUCAGGCUGUUUCACGGAUCUGCUGGAUUGGGACCCCCACCCCACAUCCACUCACUGAACUGUAGCACCUACCACCCCAGUAAAACAAUUCGUGAGAAAGUUAAUGAAGUUACUCUUCCUCACCCCCCAUCUUCAUAAUCCCCAAAUAUGGCACCACAUUCAGUCUGUAAACUCUGAAACUCUGCUACAUCUAAUGUGCUGAUGAUCACCUUAUUUCCAGAGAUUCUUCCUUGGCUUCCUAAUUUUAUCACUAAUUGCCCAUUUGUUUUCCUUCCUAACCUUAAAGAUGAGUCCUCAGAUCUGUGUAUCUAUGUUAUCUAUGUAUGGAUCUUUGUAUCUAUGUGUCUGGUUUUAGUGUUUCCAUCAUGAAUUCCUGUCUCUCUUCCGUGGAGCUCAGCUGUCCUGAGCAUCACUUCCUCCCUUGUGUGGACAACUUCUAAACUUGUAGCUUCUUCUCGGACCUCUCUUCCAGCCCCAGUAUCGCUUUCCCAACUGGCUGCUAGACCAUUCUCUGUAAUAGCUACCAUUUGUUAGAUGUUUUUAGUCUUCACGACAGUCCCCCAAGAUCUUAGUCCUGUAUUCACAGAUGAGGAAUCUUAGGCUCGCAGAGGUUAUGCAACCAGCCAGGAGUCAUACGUCCCUGUGAACCAGAUUCAAAAUGUACCCUCAAUAUUCAACGGAAUCCUCAAUUCUUCUUUUGGCAAGUUUUCAAAAUCUAUUUACAUAGGGAGCUUCCUUGGGGGGUUCUGCGGGCCCAGGUCCAUUACCAUGCUUCCGUUUCCUCUCAAGGCAAAGAGGGAAUAUAUUUAAGUGUGUACAUUUCAAGCGUGAGCUGUUCAAGAGAAGACACCAACUUUUCUCAGGGUGAGGCAUUCCUUAUUUUUCCACUUGUUUAAAACUUACCCUUCCUUCAGUGCUCAACUGAAAUGCCUCUGUGCACAUGAGGUCUCCUAGACCCACCUCACACAGAAGAAAUUGCCUUUUCUUUGAACUAGGGGUUUUCAGGAUAGUGACUAUAUAGUAAACAUUUCUGUCCACACCCCUCCUAGCCCUGUGUAUCUGGCAACCUGCUUCUAGGGCUUUGCCAAAGAAGACUUGAAUGAUGAGACACUAUUGGGAAUAUUUUGCUCUGCCAUCCGGAAACUGGUUUUCCUAAACAGGACACAUAUCUUUGAACUUUCUCCUACCUCUGAGUAAGUUCUCUGCCCUCAUGGGGCAGGAACCCUCUCUCUAAACUAGGCUGGUCUUGGAAAUUCCCUUUAUUUGGAAGGAUGAAUUUUUCUUCCCUAAGAGGCCUCUCAGCUCAAGUUCUGCUUUAUCACUUUUUCUACCAAGGAGUCUAAGUGCUCUGUGCAGAUGAAACUCCUAAUAUCCAGCCCUAGCACCCUAGAAUUCCAAUGAUAAAUCUACAGAUGGUGGCUCCCCACCUCCACCCUCUUCCGUGUAAUGUGAGAUGUGGAAAGAGAGAAAUCAGCCCAUCUCGACACCAACUGGUAGAGGCAUCCCCAGCAGGACCUCAGAGAAGGAUAGGUCUUCCUACAUGGAGGAGGAAAGUGUAAGCUUCCUUUGUAAUGCAUCAAGCAAGAGUAGAGACUCACAGGUAGAAAUAAUGAGUGACAGGAGAAAGGCGGCCACAGUGGGGAGACCACCCUGGUUGAGCUGGAGCAUUUAAGGGACAUGACAUUAUCUCAGUAAAUGGCUUCAGAUUCCAAAGGAUCUUAAACACCAGCCAGUGGAGAUUAGCCUUGACGUUAGGGGCACUGGGUAUCCUUGUAUAUUUUAAAGCUGGAAAGUGAUCUAAUGCUUAGGUUUCCAUAAAUAAAUAACCAAAAGGAAGAAGGGAAGAGUGGCCAAAUGUCUUAAAUUCCUCUUGGGCCUAUUGCCUGAUUUAUCUUGGACCCCAAACACACAGACAUGUGCAGAUUUUCUUGGAUUAUUUAUUUUGGUUUUAACGUACACAGUGGAGAACUCGAUGUGAGCUUGGCUGGAUGCUUCAGAGAAAAGGGCUGUGUUGUGUAUGCAUCUGUUGUUGCAACUGGUGCAGGCCAUCUGUGGGUGGUUCCUGCCAUUCUUAGCAGCCCUCCUUCUCUCUUGGAGAAUGAAGGCUCCUACACUGAGUCAUUUGGUGGCCGCUGAAUUUUAUUUUCGGAAUGUGUCCUAAAUACUGCAGGCUGCCCACUCACUAUGCCGAAGAGAAUGCCCUUUGAGAAGAGGAUUCCUAUUUGUCUAACAACAGCUUGCUGCUGGGGUGAUCUCUCUCUUUUGUCACAGGCUGAAUGGGGAAAUGCUCAGCCUUUGAUCUCCAAGGCUGAGAGCGUCCAGGGAGGAAGCUGAGCAGCCCGCUAUGGUUUGAGUCUGAAACACAUCUUUAUGUUGCUUCACACGACGUUGCAUGUGGAUCACUAUCUCGGUGUUCUAGAAGAAUCGGAAUCAUAAAAUUUAAGAACUGGAGGGGACCCCAGAGUCCAGCUGCCUACAGAUCACCUGAAUGUCCUUUACAGUAGUUCCAACUAGGGGUCAUUCUGCUGCGUCUUGCUAGCUUCUUGUGCCAGAAGACUCACUACCUUGAAAAGAUUUCUAAUCCAGGGUAGCCAGUAGCUAGCUUCUUGUGCCAGAAGACUCACUACCUUGAAAAGAUUUCUAAUCCAGGGUAGCCAGUAGCCUCAUACAAUACCCUGUUUAUGUAAGCCUUUCUAGAGAGAUUGAGUUAGGUGUUUUAAAAGCUCACCAAAAAUCAUACCUGCAGAGCCUGCAAAUUCGUAUCGAGGAAUGUGGCUAAGGAACUAAAUGAAUGAAUGAAGCAAAAUGUAAUAUUCCUUUCCAUGGCCAGUAGUAAGGAGAUAAAGUGAAUUAAAAACCAUGUUGUAGAAUAAUAAGUGUUAAUAUGAAGAGGCAGUAGCAGCUAUCAUUUUAAGCACUUGUUCUACGUCUUUUCUGGAGCUUUCCAUGUACUAUUUUAUUUAUUAUUCAUUCAUCAUGUGUCAUGAUGUGUGUGUGUGUGUGUGUGUGUGUGUGUGUGUGUGUGUGUUUUGAAGGCUGGGAGGGUCAGGGAUUCUGUGAACACUUUAGAGUUUUUUGAGGCUGAGCUAAUGGUGUCCUCCAUCUCCUGUCUCCUACACUGGCUUCUGAAUUGCUAUCCCUGCCCCAGCCGUCUGCUUUCCUGAGGCUCCACGAAACAUUUCCCCACUUUGCCUAUCCUGUGGUUGGUUGGGGUCAGUCGCUUUUUCACUUUCAUCAAGACAAGGCAGGCUCCCUGAGGAGGUAGGCUUUUUAGGAAGACUUACAGGGGGUGAGGGACUAUCAUUAGGUAAAGCCCUGAAGAAAGGUACUGAAGGAUGGAUCUUCUAAAUGCAUAUUAAUGCUUAAUUGUUUCUGAUGUUCUUUGGAGAGUCUGAGCCUCUCCUAAUUUUCUUGAUCUCUCAACCCUGAGGAAGAGCUGUACUAUCUGUCACACUGGACCAGGAACUUGACUUCCUGCAUGGCAGUUCUAGAACGAUUCCACUGUCUUCCUAGCUAUGAGCAUAGGAUGUGACAGUCCUGGACCUUAGUGAAUAUCACAGUGGUUACAAGAGUCUCUGGGUCCCUCCCCCUGGGCUCUUGCUCUCACUGAGAUCCUUCUGUAGGGGGGGCCCAGAUGCACCCAGAGUUUUUCUCAUGCUGUGUUUGAAACUUGACCAUUUUUUUUAAUGAUAAAGAAUAAUUUCAAUAAUGUAGGGUUGGUUUCUUAUUAAAUCAAAGGAGAAAGAUGAUCAAGCGUGGUAGGUAUUGUACUUUAAGUUGAUUACAAAAAGCUUUAUUGAGGGUUAACCACUAGGCAAUGGAUAGAAAAUCAAUUACACGGUAGUUAAACAUCCAAUAAUAUGUGUUGUAAUGAACAAUUCAUAUUUAACACCUCUUAUGAAAUAAUGAGCUGUGUUGGAGUUUUGGGGUAGCCAAGCAGCAGUUGGGAUAUGAGAGUAAAAUCUUGAGGAGGCUGACACCAUGUUUUAUCAAGUAGCAUCUCACGGCAUCAUGGUUAUGUGAGGGCUGGUUCACUUCCCAUUCCGGUAUCAUGCCUCCUGACGGCUGACAUGACCACACAGCUUCUAAGAGUCACCAGUCUAGACUGAGACCCAAGACUGCACUGACGUCAGAUUGGUAUGAAAGAGCAAGUCGUUAAGUCGCUAAGAUGAUGCUGUGCAUCAUGAAAUUAACAUUUCCAGAUUUCCGUAGGUAAUGUGGACAGCCAGGGGGUCCUUUUCUCAUCCUAUCCCAGUCUAUAGAGACCCAUCUCUUCACCGUCUGCCAUAUUGUCUCCCACGUGAUACAUGAAAGCCUGACUCAGAACUCUUUAUAUUUAAAUGGUAUUUGCAUGUAGUGUGUUCAUGAAUAACUCAAUUCAGUUGCUAUUCAUGCUUUUCCUUUUUCACCACACCGCCCAAUCAAAUGUGAUUUCAAGAUAGGAAGGGGCCAUCCAGUCUCGAAACCUGCCAAGCCACCCACAUUUCUGGCUUCACUGAAGGUUGUUCUGUAAUUCCCUGUGUCUCCUUCUGCUCCGGGUUCUAUAAUAUGAAGCUAGUAUUCUCAAAGGAGUUCACAGUUUGUGCCUCCAGAAUCAGACCAUGGUAGAGUCCUUCAGUUUAGCCAAUUCACAGAUAUUUUGCAGAGUUACAGGAGAGGUGAAGGAGAAAGCAAAGAGUGGAAGACAAGAAGAAAAUAGCAGCGUUCAGGUGGCAAUUGGAAAUGAGAACCAGUGAAGCGGAGGGAAUACAAAGCGGCUAUUUCAUGGGUAGAAGAUCGCGAUGGGGAAGGUUCACUCAUGAGUAGGAGAAGCUGAGUGAGGAAAGGACAAUAGGAGGGAGUAAGCUAUUGGCUCAGAAAACACUGGCUUUGGCUGACAUCGUGAAGAUCAUAAAACCAACCUGAGGUAAGUAGGAUAGUUAGCAUUUGGGAGCUUAGGCUCUAGAGCCUGGCAGACUAGAUCUCUGGUCCUUUCUGCCACUUGCCAGCUAUGUGGUUGGGAAUGUCUUUAACCCCCUCUGGGCCCAGUGAUGCAAAAUCUACGUGCUUACACCCAAGUACCUAGUAUAAGAUCUGUCGUAUCCUUGUCACGCAAUAAAUAUUGGACAAUGUGUGUGUAAUCGUAUCUACUUUAUAUGGGCAUUUUUGUGCAGACAGAUUGCAAAAAGCCAGGUAGGACAUUUCAUGUAUGGCCUGGUACAUAUAAUAUAAUUAUGAGCAUACUUAUUACUGCACUUAUUUUUAAAAUAUGCAAGCAUUUGAUUUUCUGUAGCCAUUUGAUCUGACUACGUAAACGAUGUCCCUCCUGUUGCUACCACGCUGGGAACUGCUGUGAAUGCUGGGGCAUAUUUUGUGAGCUCCCAUCAUAGUGGCUGGCAUUAAACAUGCUCCCGAGAUAGGUUAAAUAAGUGAGUCGCUUGCGGAAUCUUAAAGUGGGAGCUCACCUUACUGAACAUCUAGUCUAGCCUGUAGAUUUUAUAGGCACAGCCUAUAAAUCCUUUUGAGACCAAGUAGAAAUCGCUGUAGCAGCAUGGCAUUUUGUUAACGAGGAUGCUGUGGCCCGGGGAGGCUAGGUGGUUUGGGCUGGGCAACCCAGUGUGUGAUGACUAAACCAGAAGUAUAGCCCAGGUCACGCAGUUCCCAGGGUGGUGGCAACCAAGCCUUCCCUUUCAGGGACAAGGGUGGCUAGCCAGUUGUAGAGCCUGGGGGCCGCCGUGUAAGAUGUGACUUUCUCAUUUUGCAGUCUCCAGGGGCUUCAGUGUCUUUUCGGAGGAAGAGCUACAACCUGAGGCCUGGAAUCUGAGGUCCGGGUUGUCACAAGGGGGUUGAGCCCAAAUUCUAGGGCUGUGGGUUCCGAGGUAGAAUUCUUGACAGUUCCAAGUAGGAAUCUGGACUCCACCUGAAUUUCUCAAACACCAGCCCGGGAUUUGAGAGCUGGAGAGGCCCUGAUGUAUCAGCAGUCACGAUAGGUUGUGGGAAAGGCAUGUGAAAAGUGAUGGGACUGAGAUGAAGGAGGUGUCGAGGAGCAAGAAUUCCCGUCCCCUUGAAGGCCCUUGUAGCUGGAUUAGGAAUCAGAUUGACACGAGACAGAAUAACAGGAGAAAACCAAAUUUUACAGCAACUCUCAAAGCACUAACAGAAGCUUGAAAACGGAGAAUUUAUAAUCACCAACGUGCUUGCUGUCAAAGUCAUGAUGGUGGCCUGCUUGGGACCUGUCCCCCUCUUCUGCAGCUGCCUCAGGGAGAUGAGAAGGCUUCGGUGUAGGAGCCCAGUGCAGCAGGGGGAACAUCUGUGAACUGAGAGAGUUGCGAGAGCCCCCGUUCUUGAUUGGAGUGGACAGCGGAGAGGUGGGAGCGCACAGGGCUGGAGCUACUCAUUCCAGAUAGGACUCCGGUAAACCAAUCAGAUAAAUCUCUUCAUUAGGGUCUUGAGUAAAAGGCAAGUGGAAAGAGGGCAGAGCGCAGCCUGUAGAUUAAAUUUGGUCAGAGCCAAUAUCUGACAAUCCCCCAUGCUGUUAUCCAAAUGAAAGCUAAUGCAACUAUGAAUUAGCAGCCCCAGGAGCAAUGGAGGAGGGAAUUCAAUUCUCUCCAACUCUGCUCCAGUCUAGACUGAGAGAGGAACCACGGGAGGCUGGCGUCGCUCCCUCCAGGCAUGCAGGUGUUGACUGGGGGGUGGUGGGGCACAAGGUGCCCCACUUGGGCUUCCCCACUCAAGUCUCAGAGUGUGGGCCUCAGUCAUGUCUUAGGUCUGCUCAGCCAGCUCAGGGAAGGCCCAGGGUGAGCCCUACAUCUUCCAGAAGGUUUCAGCUGCAAGGGAGCCUCAUCCCCUCUGAGGAAAUUUCUCCUUGCCUUCCUCCUGCCAGCCUUGAGCAUGACUCUUUUCUUCACAGUGAGCCCUGGACAGAGUUCCCCGGCUGGCCCUUGAUAUUUCUAAAUCCAGAAGUCCCCCAGAUGGUAGCUACGCUUGUCGUGAGACCAGUCUGACAUAGAGGAUUGUCCAGUCACUAUGUAGCAUCACAUGUCAGCUGUACUCCAUCACAACAACAAAACAUAAGGAGUCCCCACCUAGCCUGAAUCCAGUGAUAGUGUAUCACUCUCCCCUGCCAAACCUUCAGAGCAACCAUUUCCCCUCUUUGUUUUCAACAGAACAGAAUUUUAAUGAAACUAAGAGCACAUAGGGGACCAUGGAUGGCCUUCCUUCCACUUAUGGAGAUUGAUCUUUAAUGCUUCCCUUGGAGGAAAUGCCUGCCCUUGACCCCUCACAUCUGUCAUUCGGGUCCCACUGACCCUGCAGUCGUGCCCUUCGCCCUGCCUUCCAACCCACAUGGCACUUACCCUCAGAUAUGUAUUCGAUAUUAAUGCAUUAUUGUUCAUUUAUCUUUCAGUCUGUUGAUUUAAUCUCGUCCUGGGCUUAUCCUUCACCCGUGUGCCAUGGUAUCGUGUAAAUAUGCUCUUAACGUUCCUAAUAGGCAAAGUCGGCCGUGUCUAGGUAAUUCUUCGGUUUGCACAAUGCAAUCUACAAAGGGGCCUUCUUUUCAUGAUGUUGGCGAUAAUGAUAUCAGAUUGUAUGGAGAAGGGCAGAGAAAAGCCGCGAUUAGUUCCAAGAGGGAGGCAUUGAGCGGCAGAGACGGAAUCUCCUCCAGCCCUCCCUGGGACGGGGUCUCGCUGUCAGCUAGCGGCAAUAUAGUCUCCUUAAUAUGACAAAUCGGAGCUCCUGCCGUACUUUACUGCCUGCAUGUUAAUGAGCCGAGCCCGUGUAACAGAGCCAUUUGGUGGAGGGAGUUUACAAACAACUUGGUUUUGAGAUACUCAGAGAGAGAGGGAGAGAAGGAAGAUGAGGUUGCAUUGAGAGCCGUAGGUCUGACGGAGGAGGCUGCCUCCCUACAAGCCUUGGGACUCAAGGAGAGCCCCCUGGAAGAGCCUUUGCUCUUGGAGUGGCCACACAAAGAGAGCCGGGGGAGACCUCUAAGACUCUGAGAUUGCAUUUCACUGAAGGACCCGAUUCAUUAAAAUGAUAUACAGAACACUCUCCAGGGGGCGCCCAGGUGGCUUAGUGGGUUGGGCGUCCAAGUUCAGCUCAGGUCAUGAUCUGGUGGUCCGUGGGUUCGAGCCCCACAUCAGGCUCCGUGCCGACAGCUCAGAGCCUGGAGCCUGCCUCAGAUUCUGUGUCUCCCUCUCUCUGCCCCUUCCCCACUCAUGUUCUCUCUCUUUGUCAAAAAUAAAUAAACAUUAAAAAAAAAACAACACUCUCCAGCACGUGCCACAAGAUUCCCAGGGUGAACGCAGGUCACUGUCCCCAUCUGGCUGCCACUCUGUGGUGCUUGAGUGACCCUCUCCAGCUGGAAGAGCAGGGGAGAGAAUGGGACCUAGGCUUUCACAGAAUGGGUCAGCCUAUUUUCUGAAUCCAGGGUUAGGGUAAUGUCCAGAUUCCUUAUCACCAGGCUCGUGAGGUCACUUUGUUAUCUCAACAGGGUGAAACAGUGGCCAGUGUGAGUGAGCCCUUUGGAACACUAGAGAUCUUGUCAUAAUGACGACGAUGAUGGCGACGGUUCUGAUGAUGGUGACAAUGUCACAUAACGUACUCUGUGCUUACCAGGUGCCAGACCCGGCAGUAGGGGUUUUAGAUGCAUGUAUCAUUUAAUCCUUACUCAACCAAGUGCUUGAUAAUACUGUUAUUCCAUUUUUAUGAUGAGUAAAGUAAGGUUCGAAGAGUUCAGUAUCUUGAUCACAGUUACAAAUCUCCUUAGUGAUGUCGCAUGCAGAAGUAUCAAUCAUUGGAAGAACACGUAUGGAGCCUCCUUGAAGGAUGUUGUAUUACAGAAUACUUGAACUAGAAGGAAACUGGACAUGAUCUGGCCCAACCUUUCUCACUAUCCAGGUGGAAAAACCAGCAGCCUGGAAAACAGAAGUGACCUCUGCAAGGCUAGGCCACCAGAAAAUGGCAAAGCUGGGGUUAAAGUCCAGAUCUUCUGAAUUCCAGUGCUUUGUUCCUCUCUGGCACCCUCAUUGUCUUUCAGUUUGGAGUGUUGCAGGAUUUUAAUUUUUAGGUGAUUCUGAUUAUCAGCCAGAGUUGGAGCCACUACUGAAGGCUCUGAUGUCAUCGGGCAAACACAGAAGCAGGUGGAAAGAUCAGCGAAGGAGGAGAGCCAGUUAAAUGCAAAAAACGGUGAUAGAGGGCUUUUGGGUGGUUUUUUGUUUUGUCUUUUGCUAUAACCCCUGGGCUCCUGCCAACGAUGAUGCUGAGGGUGAUUCCAAUGUUGAGGGACAAGAGAAAAUGGACUUCUGGGUAAGAUCCAUUAUCUUAAUGCAGAUGAAAUUUUCAAUAAUUACAACUUCUUGUCAAACAUGCAGGCUCAAUUGAAAUAAAGUCGUGAAUGGUGCCAGGAUUAUCUAGAUCAAUUCUCCUGUAUGUGUUAUCCCUGGUAGUCUCUCGAGAGAUAAAGCACCCAUCAUGCUAGGUAAUUAUGUGGAUAAGUGUGGCAAUUCCACAGUAACCCAGCCAUAAGUGAAUUCAGUGGGAACAAUUCAGGCUGAUAUAGCUGGAGGAGAGGAGGGGACCAGAGCAAAGUCCAGAUAGCAUUGUGACAAUCAUGGCCUCAUUUGUGCUGUCAGCAAUAAAGCACUAAAUCACUGCCUAUAGGAGGUAGGCACAAGGGUAAGUUAGAAAAAUUCUAGACCAUCCCUCAGUUUUCCAUCUGGCAGAUUCCCGAAGUGCAGCACUUAUGAGCCAUGUGACCGGAAGAACAUGGCAAACUCAAUAUUAAGAACAUGGCCUUAGCCAUGUAAGA